CAACGUAAGCAACCUGCCCGAAAGACCGGGAUAACGUUUCGAAAGGGACGCUAAUACCGGAUGUGUCCAUCUCUUGGCAUCUUGGGAUGGGUAAAUCACUUGUGGCUUUCGGAGUGGCUUGCGGCCUAUCAGCUAGAUGGCGGGGUAGUGGCUCACCAUGGCAUCGACGGGUAGCUGGUCUGAGAGGAUGGUCAGCCGGACUGGGACUGAGAUACGGCCCAG
rnacentral:rRNA from 1 species